GUUCAGUAAAUAUUUAAUUUGUAAUGGGGGAUAAUAUAUGGGCUAGUACUAUACCCCGGCUCUUAGAACAUUUGUAUAUUUUCUACAUAUAAUAUGUGAUGUGCAAUGAAGAAUUACGAUUCAAUCGUUAAUUCUCUAUUAUUUACUCUCUAUUCCUUAGGGAAGUGUUACUCAAAACCGGAAAUCGACUUUCUAUUGUGCAAUGGAUUGAACGGUACAAGAAUUGAGUCUCAUCUUUAAUGACACAUUCAAGAAUUGCGUAAGAGUGAUCACAAGAUCGUACGGCGGAUCGUUAGGCGGGUUUUUAAUGAAUUUCUGCAUCUUCUCAGUGCCCAUCAAGUCGCAGAGAGCGCCGCCGAACUUCGUAGCCAUGUAGUACACCAUUCAGCUUCCGUAUUCGUCGGCGGAAUACACCAGGGUAGUGUCGGAAAUGAUAACACACGUGUCUUCACCUUGAAAUUUGU